rnacentral:tRNA from 1 species
AUGGCUAAAUGGUUAAAGCGCCCAACUCAUAAUUGGUGAAUUCGUAGGUUCAAUUCCCAUU